UUCUGGCUGUAGGUAUGUCUGUAGGGCAUUUUCUUAGUGAUUGAUGUGGAAGAGUGCUACAUUCCCCAUUGUGAGUGCUGUCAUUCUUGGGCUGGGAGUUCUGGGUUCUAGGAAGCAGGCUGAGUAAGCCACAUGGAGCAAGCCAGUAAAGCAGCAUCCCUCCAUGGCCUCUGCACCAGCUCCUGCUUCCAGGUUCCGGCCCAGUUUGAAUUCCUGACCUCACUUCCUUCAGUGAUGGACUAUGAUAUGAAGGUAUAAGCCACUUAAACCUUUUCCUCUACAACUUGCUUAUGGUAUUUCAACACAGCAAUAGAAACUCUAAGAGGGCAUUAGUCUGUCUCUUGUAUUAGACCACAGGACAUGGGUACUUGACAAAGGAAGUUUGAUUUAUGGAUCUGAUCACCCAAAAACUCUGGCUAUGUGGUCCUCAUGAGGGCUGGGGUGCCCACUGUACCACAAAUGAAGAAACAGAACAGGAUUUGGCUGAGUGAGGAAGGGCUGAGGGCAGACUCACUUUCUUUUCUGGUCUUAUGGGAACUGAAACAACCCUUCUAAGGAUGGUGCCCUGUGACUUAAUCACUUUGCAUGAAGUCCUACCCCUUAAAGGUCACAUUACCUUCAUGUUGCCAAGUUGGGGACUAAGGUUCCAUCACUAGAAACUCACCAUAACCAAGCCAUAGCAUCUGACUGUCCUGAUAUCUAUCUAGACUUAUCUCUUUAGGGCCAGGGGAUAGCCUACCUGCAUCCUUGUGGUGGACAUGGCUGGUCUCAUACCUUUAGUCCCAUGGAUACCAGGAGACAUAUCUUGAUUGUUAGGAUCCUUGAUAGGAGUGGGUGGAACUGACAUCCAGGAAGAAAACCAGGAGUGUCACAAAACAUUGUCCAAUGUGUAAGGGACUUCUGUAUGUAGCCUUAAAUAUCCACUCAUGUCAGCUACCCCUUUGCCAGUCUGUGGCCUCUGUGCACGGGUAUGUCAUUGCUUUAGAGAGGAUGAAAUGGCAGGGCUGGACAACAGGCUAUGGCUUACAUGCCUCGACAAUAGGCUAUGGCCUACAUGCCUGGACAAUAGGCUAUGGCCUACAUGCCUGGACAAUAGGCUAUGGCCUACAUGCCUGGCUUCAGUGGGGCCAAGUAACUAGCCAGACUAAAGUACAGCACUGACCAGGUGAGGGCGAAGGGAUUUGUGACAUUCAGAACAGUCUCCUGUCCCAAAACUACAGAAGGCAGCCUCAGUGGGGUUCCUCAGCCCAGGAAUCCUCCCUCCCUCCACAGGAUACUCUCUGGACCGGAGACUGCCCCAGAGAGGACUCAGUGGUCCCUAAGCAUGUACACACAGGCCUCUUCAUCCUGACCCCUACAUAUUCUGUCAUCACUGAAUUGAAGAUCCACGAGGUGGGAAAUGAUUCCAUCUACACUGGAAGACAGAGGCAAGCUUCAAGAUCAAAGUCGUGUUCACGAUGGGGCACUACUCCAAAAGCUCAUGCUGAAGUCACUGUGUACUUGCUCCAAACUCUUCCCAGGGGGUCUGUCAGUUUCUAUGUUACCAUAGAGACUUCUUGUUCUUGUGAGAGAGAUGGAGAAUCUUUCAAAGCCAGUCACUCCGUCUUCUUCCAGUCCCUGGCAGCUAGCUUAUCCUAAUAUCCCUGACAACCUUGGUUGGUUCUCUCCCAGAGGCAGUUAAGGAUGCUCUCACCUUCACAGCUGCCUCUGACCUGGGGGAUGACAGGAGGGUGGCAACGACCCAGGGCCAGGUACUUUGUUUUGAAUAAAUUCAGCAUCACAGUUGCUAUUUUGUGACACUUCUCUUUCAUGCACUGAUGAGUAUUAAUGUAAUGAGUAUUAAUGCAUGACCAUGUAGUAACUCAUCAGUGAGUGCUAACAUUUGUCUUCAGACAAGCGUGGGCCUGAGAAAAAGAAAGCACUAGGUCUCGUUAGCACUCUAGUCCAACUCCUGCUCUCUGGGCUCAGGCUGACCUGGGAAGGUUGGAAGUCUCUCCCACUAGUUGCUUUUGAUUUACUGUUUUGCAUGUGUUGGAGUCUCUGGCAACUAUGAGCAUCAGUGCUCCAAUGUGCAUGUGCAGCCUGGCCCGAGCGCAGCUGAGGCUGCAAGUUCUCUGCUCAUGUGUAGAUGAUGGGAGUGGGAGGAGGGGCAGAUGACCAGCUGAUGCUGGCCAAUGGAAAGUACCAGUUUGAGAGACAAUGUUGGAGGAAAAGCAAAGGUCUGCAAAGUGACAGAGGAGGAAAAUCCCACUAGGAAAACAUCUUGUUAUAAUGACCACAACAGAAGUAGAAUAUUUCCACUGACCAAAAAUGACCAUAAAAUUGGGUCAGGAAGACAAGCUCUGGAGAACAGCAGGGAUCCUGUUUCCUAUUUUAAGGCUCUCGAGCAGGGCCAGGCAGCACUGCUGCCCUUGAGUUCUCCUUCUCAUGUACUGCCAACAAGGAAAGGCUGUCAACGCCAUUUUACAAGGGGCCUUGGGAAAGACUCUGAGAGCUGAUUUGCUUGAUUCAGCCUACUGUGUGUGUGGUGUCAUACUCACGUGUGCAAGACGCACUCAAGCACACAAGUUUCACAUAUUGAUCUCUGCCUGCUGCCUCUCCCAAUCCCUGAAAGAAAUGAAACAUUUUCUAUAGUGAUCUAGGUUUUUAAGCUUCAACUAUCAACAAAAUAAAACUUGUCUAUUAUCUGUUAGGUCUGUUUUUUUUUUUUUAAUACUUACUCAUAUUGACUGUGUUGCUUUUAGAAUCCAGUUUAACCCACAAGAAAGAGACCUUGAAGGAUACGCAUGGAACCUGUUUAGAAUUCACAUGUAUCAGUUCCCAAUUGGUGUACCAGCCCAGUCCAUACUGCUCCAUGAAGAGAAGCCUGCUCAAUACCUUUUAAUGGCCUGCUGGCCUUCAUCAGAACAAACACACCUACACUAUCCAGCUUUUCUAUAAACUGAGUGGAUAAGGUCCCUAUCCACAACCACACUGUCUUAGCUAAACCACCAGACACUUCAGAAUCAUCAGAAAUAAAACACCUUAGAGACUAAGAGAAAGAAAACACUCUCACCAUAUUCUGAGUCAUGAGUAGUUGUUUUUAACAUUUAAUUUCAGUUUAAUAGGAAUUAAUUGUGGCUCUAACAUUUACAUCAAUGCUGAACAUUUGCACAACUUUCAGAGUAGCCCAAUAUCAUUAACCACAGAAUCUGGGAAGCAGAAUCCAGGGGAACAGAGAAGGAAAUGCAUUGUUUACUUAGCAUCUAUGCUGUCAUAUGAGAUCUACUUUUUCAUAUAACAACAUACCACAAGAAAAAUGAAUAUUUUAGUAUUUCCCCCUCUAUGGCUGACUCAUGUAGCUGUUUCCACUGCUUUUGGAAUUGUAAAAAUCCUAUUACAGAAACAUACAGAACAGAUAGAGGAGGUAAACAGAAUAAUAUGUUUAUUAAGUGGUUGCUUUAAACAUACUCAUCCCCUUAUUUUUCCUGUAAGAAAAGCUUGAAGGAUGAGGAAGGAAAUUCUCUCCCGGCGAACAGCUACAGUUGGGAGGAGUAGGAGACCUGACAGUGAGGGUAUACCCUGUCUGCGGUACUGACCGUUUGUGGGUGUUCAUACAAGGCUGAAAGUUUAUAAUUAAAACCCCCAGAGGAGACACACACACACACACACACACACACACACACACACACACACACACACGUUUAUGCCUUACAAAUCCAUCACUGUACUUCCUUUUCUUAAAGACAUGAGCUACUUUAGAGAGAGAGUGGUAAAUGCUUUUCUGGGAAACAUCUCGUUGUUCACCUGAAAUACCUGGACAGAAAGUUCAGUACAUGGUUUAAGAAAUGAAACUUUACAGGUUUAAAAGGAUUGGAAACAUGCAUAGACGUUUUCUACUGCCAAAUGGUCAAAACCUGAAAUUACGUUUAAGUCUGAAGGACUGAGGAUCCCAGGGGAGAGCCAUGUAUAAAUAUGGCGGCGUUGUUAUAACAUGGGUGACAGGCAGGAAGUGAGAGGGUGUAACAGACACAACAUCAACACAGUUAAAGCCAGGACUCCACUCCAAUUUUAAAAGAAAGUGAGACUACUUAAGUAGGUGGUGGUUUUCAUGGCCGUUUAACAACCCGGGAAGAGAGUGUUAUUGCUGACACACCGUGACGAAGCAGUGUGAAUAAGUGUGCACAGUGGUGUGCACCAUCAGUCAAUUCACACUUACAGGUGAUCAUGGGAACAUCACCCCCUGGCAGUCCCUAAGGUAUCCAAAGACUCCACAGGGAACAUUUAGACAGAGAAAGAAGACAGGUUUCUUACUAGAGUGACAAUGUAACAAAUAUACUCAUUGGACCAGUCCGUUUUAAACAUGACAGGAAAAUCUGAAACUGUGAAGCUACUGUAUGUGAAUUUUUAAAAUCACUUGUAAAGAAGGGCAAGUCUGUUAAGUAUCAGAAGACAAAAAGGAACAGAAAAAUGUAACUGACAAAUGCAAUCUCGGAAAAAUGUGGCUAAUUAUAGACCGAAUUUUAAGAGGCUGGUUUUUGGCCUACGAGGCCACUAAGAAACAAAAGAAAAUGGGUUCUUAUUUAAAAAUAAGAACUUAAGCAAAAUUCCCAAUACUGAUACUUUUUUUUUUAAACAGAUUUCUUGAUGGCUAGACAUCUCAAAUGAUGGGUAUGGUGAACUUAACAAAUGCCUCCCAUGCUUUCUGGUCAUCUGAAGGACACGAGUGACGCUCACACCCCCUCUAGAUGGCUCAUGAGAUACAGCUAUUGUUAAUUAUAUUAACAUGCACAAGAACUGACUGCUUACUGUGUCUGGCUUUCUUCCCUCAAGGACAGGGCAGGGGAAUGGCCCACAGGUAAAAACUGGCCUGUUGUUCAUUUCGGUAAAUAAAAUUUUAUGUAAAAGGUCACAUUCUCAUCUCUAUGCUACCUGUGGCUUUUACGCUGUAAAGGCGAAGGUGUACAGUAAAGAGACUACCUGACUCUCCGAGAAGCCUAUUUACUACCAGACCCUACAGAGAGAGCUGUUGGCACAUGUCCUCAGGUUUGCUUCUUCCCUUUCACAGCUCCGGCCUCCUCCAGUGCUGGUAUGUGGAUGACUCCAUCUUCUAGGCUCACUCUGUUCACUGGUGUGUAUCCUGAAGCUUUCAUAUCACAGCUGGGGGUCCGCCUUUAAUAUAUUUGGAACAUAAUCAUUAUCUCCAGCCAUGAUCUGCUUGAUGUCAGGCAUCCUCUAAGAAUUAGCGAUUAAUAAAGUGGAAGCGCCAUCUGGUAGCAGACAGACAGACAGAAAACUGUGCCUCUUGUUUUAUUUUGGCUGAGGAAUAAGGGAGGUAAAGGCGCGAAACCCAAAUACACUUAAGAGUGAACCCCAGUCAGUCAGGGGAAAGGUCUUAGCAUUCAAACACAGAAUGUCAGACAGAGAGAUCAAUACAUGUACGCACAUGUACACACAUGUGCGUGCUCACUCACAUACGCAGUCAUACUGACAUCCAUUACAAACUAAAAAGUACAACAUAAAGUAUAUUUGUUUUAUAAAUAUAUUACUGUCUAUACACAUAUAGAUACAUCCGUAAAAGACAUGUUAAAUAAUCAUUUAUAUAAUCAACACUACUUUUGUGUAUUUAAAAAUUACACAUUCUAUUAAAAUUAUCAAAAUAAUCUUUAAAAAUACCAAGAAUAAAACCAAGUGUUUCUUUCCAUGUAAGUGGUUCUGAAUCUUAUCAUUGGUCAAAUAGACCCUAGACUUGGUCAUUCACAACUGAAAGACACAGUUCAAUCAGGAAAAUGUUAUCCAUUAAAAGACAACCCCCUAGUUUUUAAUACUUCAUAACAAAUGUGUAUUAUAAAACACCAUCUUUAGGUAAUUACAUAUUUUCGUAAAUGUAUUUUCAUAAAAACAAAAAUUCAAGUUGCCACCAGUGUCAAAUAUUUCACACUGGUGACCAUUACUUUCACUGUUUGGGUCAGUGACAAACUCCCCUUAGGAUAACAAGACUGAAAUGUCUGUAUUACAUGCAAGAAAAGAGGAAAUUCUGAGGGCCAUUUUGGCCAGUUAAGUACUAUUCCCUCUGGACUAAGACACAGGGACAAGGAACUGCUACUACUGCAUAAA
rnacentral:sRNA from 1 species